UUAAACUGAAGAGUUUGAUCCUGGCUCAGA
rnacentral:rRNA from 1 species